AUUUUACGGCUCUGGAUACAAGUCCUUUUUAGCCCAACAUAAGAUACAAAACCUAAAAAAAAAAUUAUAAUUUCUUCCCAGUGUUAGAAAUAAAUUUAUAUAAAAUCUUGUAUAGUGCAGGCCUUGAUAAGAUCUCUUCUAGAGACUUCGGUACUUCAUUAAUAUGCUCUUGAAUCUCGUGAAUGAGUAAUAAUCUGUCGAGUCCGUAUUUUCUACAUUUGAAUAUAAUAUGAUUCAAAUCUUCGUCUUCAUUGCAGUGAGGACAUUUUGGGUUGUGAACCAUUUUCAUUCUGUAUAGGUAAAUAACCAGAUAAAAGUCGGUUAAAGUCUACAUAAGGGCCUGGUGUAACUGAUUCAACAACUUUGGGAGACUUUGCCUGGUAUGCCAAUAUCAUCAAGAAUGUGAAUCAUGAUUGAAGGGUCAACAUUAUCAAAUGCACCCUGGAUAUCUAAGAAAGCACAUACUGUAAAGGAAUGGCUAUGGAAAGAAUUUUUUAUAUCUGCAAUUAAGGCAGUAAAACUUUCAGCAGCGCUCCUGCCUUUCCGGAAACCAAAUUGUUGAGAAGGAGGGGACAAUGGAGCAUAUUUUUCAAUAAAUGAUGGUAUCCAUUCAUCAUUUUUUGGGGAUUUAUGUACAGAUUCAGAAUGAAACUUGGACCAAUCUGCUUUAGAAUAAAUAUACUGUUCUGUGGGAAGUCCUAUAUCAUAUUUUUCUAUAGAUGUUUGGAUAUCAAUAAUAGUAGGAUAAUGGUAACUGCCCAUUGGAUCGUCAUGGACUCUCCAUUCGCAUAAUGGUGCUACAGAUGGACUAAUAACAGAAAUAUCUAUUGCAGACGGUUGAUGAGUAGAAGUACCAACUGUAGUUGGAGAACCUGUGUUUAAUAUGCAUAGAUCAAAUUCAUCACACAUAUUAUAAAUUUCAGUGCCUCUACUGUUAGUAUUGUUACAGCCAAAGGCUACAUGAUGAGCAUUUAGAUCACCUGCCAGCAUUACUGGUUUAGGAAGCCUUUGUAGUAUUUGUUUAAGUUUAUUAACUAUAAAACGGCCUCUACCACUUUUUGGUGGGGGACAAUAUGUACAUAAUAUAGAUAGGUUACCUAAUUGUGUUUUUAAUAUUAUAGCUACAGAUUGCAUAAAGUCAUAAAAAGGUGUGGGAACAAUUGUAUAUUUAAAAUCGUUUUUUAUUAAUAUACCUACACCUCCAUAUCCACCUAUACCAUUUUGACUUACAUAGUUAUAACCAGGCAUGUUAAAGUGGCAAUUCUCUCUCAACCAUGUUUCAUUUAGUAAGCAAAUAUCUAUAUAAUUCUCAUGAAUAUAAUUAAUAAGUAAAGGUUUUUUAUUAUACAUACUUUGUAUAUUGAAUUGAGAUAUUCUAAUAAAUGACUUA